UACGAAGGGGGCUAGCGUUGUUCGGAAUCACUGGGCGUAAAGCGCACGUAGGCGGACUCUUAAGUCGGGGGUGAAAUCCUGGAGCUCAACUCCAGAACUGCCUUCGAUACUGUAGAGCUUGAGACCGGAAGAGGUUAGUGGAACUGCGAGUGUAGAGGUGAAAUUCGUAGAUAUUCGCAAGAACACCAGUGGCGAAGGCGGCUGACUGGUCCGGUUCUGACGCUGAGGCGCGAAAGCGUGGGGAGCAAACAGG
rnacentral:rRNA from 1 species